UAUCUUCAUGAAGAUUGCACACAAAAGAUACUCCAUUUAGACAUCAAACCCCAAAACAUUCUCUUAGACAAUAAGUUUAACGCAAAAAUCUCUGAUUUCGGAUUGUCUAAACUGAUUGAUCGAGACCAGAGCAAAGUUGUGACAACCAUGAGAGGCACUCCAGGCUAUUUGGCUCCAGAAUGGCUGAGCUCAGUAAUCACAGAAAAGGCAGACGUCUACAGCUUUGGGGUGGUUGUCCUAGAAUUGUUGUGUGGGAGGAGAAAUGUUGAUCACUCACAGCCAGAAGAAAAAAUGCAUUUAAUAAGCCUUUUUGAGAAGAAGGCAGAAGAGGAUCAACUGUUAGAUCUAGUCGAUAAUUGCAGUGAAGAUAUGCAGUUGAAUAAAGCAGAAAUAGGGAACAUGAUGAAGAUUGCUGCUUGGUGUUUGCAAAAGGAUUAUACAAUGAGGCCUUCCAUGUCAAUGGUGGUUAAAGUCUUGGAAGGUGUUGCAGAAGUUGAACCUAAUCUAAACACAUUUCCAAUCCACCAUUCACAACAACAUCAACAGAAGCCACUGAAUUGUCGCCCUUUCUUCUAUCUGGGCCAAGGUGACUAUUCAUUGUUAGUUUUGUUCAGUUGUUUUUCUAUGCUGUGUGAACUUGUACGAAACAAAUUAGAUUUGCUGCAAGUGAAUUAGACAUGAAAUUAGUCAUUACAAUUGAAAAACUAAUGGGACGCUCUCUAGUUUAUUUGCUUACAUCAGGUGAAUUGUUUUCCUGUUAUGUUUCUAAUUUCCACCCC
rnacentral:misc_RNA from 1 species